rnacentral:rRNA from 1 species
AUUAAACGCUGGCGGCAUGCCUUACACAUGCAAGUCGAACGGCAGCACGGGGGCAACCCUGGUGGCGAGUGGCGAACGGGUGAGUAAAGCAUCGGAACGUGCCCUGGAGUGGGGGAUAACGUAGCGAAAGUUACGCUAAUACCGCAUAUUCUGUGAGCAGGAAAGCAGGGGAUCGCAAGACCUUGCGCUCUGGGAGCGGCCGAUGUCGGAUUAGCUAGUUGGUGGGGUAAAGGCCUACCAAGGCGACGAUCCGUAGCGGGUCUGAGAGGAUGAUCCGCCACACUGGGACUGAGACACGGCCCAGACUCCUACGGGAGGCAGCAGUAGGGAAUCUUGCGCAAUGGAGGAAACUCUGACGCAGCGAUACCGCGUGAGUGAGGAAGGUCUUCGGAUUGUAAAGCUCUGUCGUGAGGGAAAAAUGGUUACACAGGUAAUAUUUGUGUAAAUUGAUGGUACCUCAGAAGGAAGCACCGGCUAACUUCGUGCCAGCAGCCGCGGUAAUC